rfam:Salmo salar isolate Sally breed double haploid chromosome ssa24, whole genome shotgun sequence.
UACAUUCACUACUGUAAGUCGCUCUGGAUAAGAGCGUCUGCUAAAUUACUUAAA